rnacentral:rRNA from 1 species
GACGAACGCUGGCGGCGUGCUUAACACAUGCAAGUCGAACGGAAAGGCCUGCUUUCCCUUGUGGAUUGCGGGUACUCGCGUGGCGAACGGGUGAGUAACACGUGAGUGAUCUGCCCCCAACUUGGGUAUAAGCCUGGGAAACUGGGUCUAAUUCCCGAUAGGACUGCAGGGUGGUGCCUGUGGUGGAAAACGAUUUUUUAGUGGUUGGGGAUGAGCUCGCGGCCUAUCAGCUUGUUGGUGGGGUAGUGGCCUACCAAGGCGGCGACGGGUAGCCGGCCUGAGAGGGUGACCGGCCACAUUGGGACUGAGAGAGGGCCCAGACUCCUACGGGAGGCAGCAGUGGGGAAUAUUGCACAAUGGGCGGAAGCCUGAUGCAGCAACGCCGCGUGCGGGAUGACGGCCUUGGGGUUGUAAAACGCUUUCGCCUGUGACGAAGCGUGAGUGACGGUAAUGGGUAAAGAAGCACCGGCUAAAUACGUG